rnacentral:tRNA from 1 species
GUCGGUAGAGCAGAGGACUGAAAAUCCUCGUGUCGGCGGUUCGAUUCCGUCCCGAGCCACU